rnacentral:rRNA from 1 species
AGUGAACGCUGGCGGUAGGCCUAACACAUGCCAGUCGAACGGCAGCACAGUAAGAGCUUGCUCUUACGGGUGGCGAGUGGCGGACGGGUGAGGAAUACAUCGGAAUCUACUUUUUCGUGGGGGAUAACGUAGGGAAACUUACGCUAAUACCGCAUACGACCUACGGGUGAAAGCAGGGGAUCUUCGGACCUUGCGCGAUUGAAUGAGCCGAUGUCGGAUUAGCUAGUUGGCGGGGUAAAGGCCCACCAAGGCGACGAUCCGUAGCUGGUCUGAGAGGAUGGUCAGCCACACUGGAACUGAGACACGGUACAGACUCCUACAGGAAGCAGCAGUGGGGAAUAUUGGACGAUGGGCGCAAGCCUGAUCCAGCCAUACCGCGUGGGUGAAGAAGGCCUUCGGGUUGUAAAGCCCUUUUGUUGGGAAAGAAGAGCAGCAGGUUAAUACCCCGCUGUUCUGACGGUACCCAAAGAAUAAGCACCGGCUAACUUCGUG